rnacentral:lncRNA from 1 species
GGGGAGGAGGGGCAGGACCGCAGGGCCGGAGGAGACGACUGGUACGCGAAUUCGCCAAGCGGUCCGAAAUUGGAAUCGGAUUUCUAGUUUGGCGAUUCAGAUUUAUGGGAUUAAAAGGAUUUCGGAAUCCUGAAUCUGUGAAUGUUUGAGCUAAGCAUAAAAUACACCAAGACCUGUGCCUGGCAUUAAGUAAAGAAGAGAGGGGUCAACUAGCAAAAAGAAAAAGAAAAGGCCGAAAAAACACAAUAUCGAGAGAGUAUAUUAAUAUGUCCUCAGUGAGUGUGUGAGACUCAGCAAGAAGAAGACUUGCCAUGACCCCACAAAUCAGCCCAGACAGCCCCGGAGUCAGCUUGAGAGAGUAAGAGAGAGCGAAGAGAAUCUGAAGUCACAGAGAGCACCUUCCGAACAGGUAGAGUGGAGCAAGCACCAGAAAGAAAUGAAACUUUAAAAAUUCUGACUUGCGUUUGAAACUUUUGUGUUUUUUUGAUUUGCAUAGUGGGGAAGCAGAAUGAAUUUACAUGUGUAUAUUUGAGUCCCAUCCAGGGAUUCUCCCAGCCUCCCAUUCAUGUCUUCAUGUAUAUCCACAUCAUUUCUGUCUACAUCUGUACCCUUAGCUACACUCAAAUCCACUUCUGUAUCUUCUCAUCUUCUUGCUACCUCAUCCCAGCAAUCGAAUAGAGUGGACAGAAGAGCUUUGGGAGUAACCACAAGGCAACAUCGGACGAUUAGAACGAACUUGGCAAGUACAAACUCCAUUGACCUUUAUAAUAUAUUUCUGAGAAAAUUUACAAAGAGUUCAAGUCAAAAUCGUUUCAAAUGUAACACAAGCUGGUGGAAGGAGCAUACGAGGUUUAUAUCAAAAUGUCUUGGGCCAGCCCGGUGGCAUAGUGGUUAAGUUUGCUCUGUUUUGACAGCCCAAGUUCGCGGGUUAGGAUCCUGGGUGUGGACCUACACCAUUCAUCAAGCCAUGCUGUGGUGGCAACCCACAUACAAAAUAGAGGAAGAUGAGCAUAGAUGUUAGCUCAGGGCCACUAUUCCUCAAGCAAAAAGAGCAAGAUGGACAACAGGUCUUAGCCCAGGGCCAAUCUUCCUCACUAAAAAAAAAAAAGUUUUGAUUUAUAGUGAUUGAUUCUAGGGCUGGAGUAAGAGAAAUCUAAUUGAGCCUGGAAAAUCUUGUGUCAGAAAAUAAGGAAAUACUCAAAACAAUAACACCUCACAAUGAUGAGGCAUGACAAAAGAAUACAAGAUCCAACUUACAAGAGAUCCCAAUGGCCAAAGUUGAAACAAUUUCAGCAAAAAAAUAAAUAAUGAUAGCCUUCGGUUAUAAUCCAUAACAGAAAAUAAAAAUCCAUCAGUCUAUACAUAUUGAUAUAAAUACAUUACAAAGUUUCCACCACGUAAGUAUCACAAUAUUAAUUGUUGCAGGCAAGAUCCAGUAAUACUGAAAUCCAUGGGUGAACGUUUGAGGGAAAACAGAUAUUAGCAGAGUCCCCAUGUAUCUCCUGCAAGAUAUUUAUCAAUUACAAAGGAAAAAUAGUAAAAUGACAGUGGAGAAACCCGGCGGACAUGAUCUCAACCAAGAGAUCAAGGUUCACUUCACCAGUAAUAAGACAGAUCAACAUGUGUAUUUCCUGAUAAAAUGCACUGAGAAAGACACUUCACCUCUGUGGUAUUUGUGCCAAAAAUACACAACUUCAAUCUAAUCUGGGAAAACGUUAGACAAAUCCCAGUUGAGGGGCAUUCUACGAAAUACCUGAGAAGUACUGUUCAAAAGUGUCAAGGUCAUGAAAGACAAAGACUGAGGAACUCUCCCAGAUUAGAAGCUAAGGAGACCUAACAACUAAGUGCAAUGUGAGUUUGUGGACUCGAUCCUAGAAUGACAGUGUAGUCUAGUAUAGACAGUGUAGACAGUCUAGUGUCUUUUUGACAUUAGAGGGAAAACUGAUGAAAUUCAAAUAGGGUCUGUAAUUUAAGUAAUAGUAUUGUACCACUGUUAAUUUUCCGGUUUUGAUAAUUGAACUGUGGUUGUGUAAUUGUUAACAUUAGGGGAAGCUGGAUGAAGGGUCUACCUGAGCUCUAUGUGCUGUUUUAAAACAUUUCUAUAAAUCUAAAAUUACCUUAAAUUAAAAGUUUUAUUUUUUAAGGAUUUGGUUCAAAUCUCAGCUCUAGCACCUUUUAGUUCUGUGAACUUUCUGGUUAUGCUUUUCCUUAUUAAACAGGGAGCUAGGAUGGAUGACCCCUAACCCAUUAUGGAGAAUGGGUUGCUCUCUUACCCACAAUAUUUGCCUUCCUUUACAUCAGCUGGCCAAAGGACCAUUGAUCAGCAGUUGUUGAAAAGGAGAAUCUUGACAACAGUUGUAAAAUGAUAUUUUCAGGUAAUUUGUCUCUGCAGUUCAAGUUUCCAGUUUAAGGCAGAAUGAUAUAAUUCUCCAGAAUGACUGGAGAAUUGUUCCCAGUUUAUUAAGGGUCAGAAGCUGCUUUAAUACAUAUUAUGCCAAGAGGAAACUUACUCUCCCAAAAGUAUUGCUAAAGAAAGAGAAUUACAGUCUAGAAGAAAACAGAAAAAUAGAAUACUACCAGUUAAAGAGCAGUGGAAUUAUGAGGGGUCGUUUUGUUUCCAAGUUUCUUUAAUGUCAUCAUUGUCUUUUUAGAAUUUAAAAUACAUCUGCUAGAAAAAAAAAUCCUUGUGCUUCUAAUGCGUGAACAUAUUGCUGAAACUGGCCACCUCUGUAAUCCUAGCAUCUAGAGAGAAUGUCCCAGGAAUGCUUUGGCAGCUAGAAAAUAAAUCAGCUUGGCACAGUUCAUUUCCCUUGAUACCCUCCCACACACCCACAUGUGCAUGUCUCUUGACCACUACGGACAUUCCAUGCUCUCCCCUUCCAACAGCAUCCACCUCCCUGUUCUCAUUCUCCAUGGCCCUUUAUCCCUGUAAAUACACAGCAUCUAAUUCAAGCAUGAAUCUGGGCUCAAGGAUACAAUGCCCCAACUAGGAUGGAUCCCCUUUUCAUUAUGUUUUCCAAGUUUAGCAAGGUUUAGUUGUUGACAAUCAGAAAAUUUCGUCUUAUUGACCGUUCCAUUUUUUCUCUAGUUUUGAAGUUCUACUCAUCAAGGUUGUCCUUCAACGCAACAACCAAGUGUUUUUAAUUUCUAAGUGUUUAAUUUCGAAGUGUUAUAGGAAGUUGAAUUUUGGUUUUUUUUUUAAAGUAUACCAGGAAGUUUCUGCAAUCAAAUCUCUGUAGAGUAGAAAUCACCCAGAAAACUUUCUAGGAGCCCGUUUAGAAUGAUUUACUUUCAGAAAAACUAGCAAGACCUUUUCAUGGGCCUCACCCUCUGGAGUGCUCACAGCCAUGUGCCCCAAGGAAAGCACAUGCUUUCUGCAUUAUUUAGCAUCGUUACAGCGGUAAGGAAAUUACAUGGUGGUAGUAAUGGUGUUAGGUCAGUACUUGUCAGGAUUGCAUGACCCCUUCCAGUUGCCUGGAGCUCCACUCAAUUGUUUAAUGGUAGCCAUCUACUCAGAGGUGGCUCCUUUGACACCGGUCCUAGGUUCUACCAGGGAGUGCCUUUAAUCUCUAACUGGGAUUAAUCCAAAUAUCUGAAGUUUCAUCCCGUUGAGCACCAAAAAAAAAUUAUUUAAACUGUUUUUGAUGGAAUGUUCAUGUAUUUACUCUUACUUGAAUUUAAAAUAGACUAUAUUGCAUAUAAUUUAACAUUUCUGGGUAAAGCCUGUUAUAAAAUGUGAUGCCCUGUGGCUAGGGGAAUGUAUAGCAUUGUCUGAUUUUGUUUCACUUAUUCUAGGACCACACUCUUUUGAAUUCUUAGGUCAUACUUUCAGUUUUUCUCUUUCUCCUUCACUGUCAGGGUGUCAGGCUAUUUACUGUUAUCAAUGUGCCUUCCUGUGUACUUUUCUGCUACUUCUAAUCUGAUGUAGGCUUGGGGAUGAGAUAUCUGGGAUCAUAACACCGCGUGUACAAUGGGAUCCAUAGAUCCAGAGGGAGGCCUGCUAAUGUCUCACAUUAUUAACAUGCAUAUGCUUUUAAUAUGAUCCAGAAGAAGUGAAGGAAGCUAGAAAGAAAAGAAAAUGACUCAGUGGACUUCAUUCUUGAAAAAAUCUCCUUCCAGCAGCAAAAUUACAAACACAUAAGAUUAUAUAGUUCUUUAAUUGAGGCAUAUUUCAUACACAAUAAAAUGCACAGAUCUUCAGUGUACAGAUUAAGUUUUGACCCUACCUAUGUAACCAUUACCCAAAGCAAGAUACAGAGCAUUUCGAUCACCUCCGUGAAACCAGCAAACAGGUAGACAUUGAUGAUUGAGAAGUUAGGAGCAAAAGUCCUUUUCCUUUUUGCAAUUACUGAUUAUAGCCUUUAGCUGUUCUCCCGCUCAUUGUUAACUGUGCUGUUUAGGCAACAUGCUAUCUGACUCCCACUAGGUUCCUAUAGAUAACGUCUCCCUGGAGCCUGGGUCACCAUAGUAAUGGGUAUUUGAGCUGUUUUUCAGGGAUUAGAACCCCUUGUCCUCUUCAGGCCUGUUGAGACCACCAACCCAUCAACUGGGCCAGCGCAGAUAUCCGAUAAGCGACUUUUUGACGUCAAGAGGCUAAAACUCCUCCCUCAGAUCAUGCUAAUGCCGCCUUUUUGUGAACAUGCAUCCUAUGAAGAGCCAUGAAGUCUGACUACGCUUGCGCAGAUCAUCAAUUAUCUCACCUCUCCUCACCUCCAACCAUCUAUCUCCACAUUUCAGACCACUUUGCCCCCUAUCCCAUGUAUAUCCCUGAGUCCCUGUUUUCAGGGAAGUGGAUUUGAAACUCAUUCUCUUGUUUCCUCACUUCACUGCCUUGUGAUUAAAACUCUCUCUCUGCUUCAAUCUUGUUGGCUCAGUGUUUGGCUUUCUGGGUGACAGGCAAAAACGAACCUGGGUUCGGUAGCACCUGGAAGUUCCUUGUGCCAUUUCAAGCCAAUGCUCCCUUCCUUCCACCACCACAUACACGUCCAGAGACAACAGUUGUUCCAAUUUCUAUUGCUAUAGAUUCAUUUUACUACCCUCGAACUUUACAUAAAUGGAAUCGUGCAAUAUGUACUCUUCCAUGUCUGGCUUCACUUGUUCAGUAUAAUGUUUUGGAGAUUAAACUUAUUGUGUGUUAUUGGUGGUCCAUUUCUUUUCGCUGUUGAGUAGUAAUCUAUGUACAAAUAUGGCACAAUUUGUUUAUCCAGUCUUCUGUAGAUGGAAUUUGGAUUGUUUCCAGCUUGUUGCUUUUAUAAAUAAAGCCCUAUGAAUAUUUGUCUUUUUAUGGACAUAUGUUUUUGCUUCUCUUUUUUUUUAAGAUUGGCACCUGAGCUAACAAUUGUUGCCAAACUUUUUUUUUUUUUUCCUGCUUUAUCUCUCCAAAUCCCCCUGGGACAUAGUUGUAUAUCUUAGCUGCAGGUCUUUCUAGCUGUGGCAUGUGGGACGCCGCCUCAGCAUGGCUUGAUGAGUGGUGCCAUGCCCACGCCCAGGAUCUGAACCCACGAAACCCUGGGCUGCUGCAGCAGAGUGCAAGAGCUUAACCACUCGGCCACGGGGCCAGCCCCUGUGUUUCUCUUGAGUAAACACCUAAGAGUGAAUUUUUUUAAUGGGUCCAAUCUUACUACUUGUUUUUAUAAUGACUUAUAUUUACAUAAUCAUUUCUUAAAUAUUAUUUAUUGGCUUUUAAUUUUUAGAAUUAACCAAAGACAAAGCAAGUGAAAUAUAACUGUAAUUUCAGAAGAGAGAAAAGACUGGAGAAAAGAGCAUGGCAGGUAAAAAGAACAGUACAUGCAAAGCCCCUGAGGAAAAAAGCAUUUGACGUGUUUGAGGAUCUGAGUGAAGGCCAUGUGGCUGGAGCAUAAUGUGUGAAGGGAAUAGUGGUAGGAGAUGAAGCUGAUAUGUACAGCUGGGGUCAGAUUAUGCAGGGCCUGGUAGGCUGCAUUAAGCAUGCUAGAUUUUAUCCUAAACCCAUCCAAUGAAUGGUUUUAGGAAGCUGAGUAAUAUGGUCCAUUGUUCUCCAUGGAGGAGAUGGAAGUAUAAAGGAAGAAGCAGACAAAGCUUCAUUAGUAAAGCUUUGGAGAGAUGGGCGUGGCCUUUUGUAGGCUAGAGAUGGAGAAACACGUGCAUAUUUGAGAUAUAUUUUGGAAGUAGAAUUUGAGCUCAUGGCAUCAACCAAAUGAAUUUCUAAGUAAAAAAUAUGGGAAAAUUAUUUUUAUUUUUUUAAAUAUUGGCACCUGAGCUAACAUCUGUUGCCAAUCUCUCUUUCUUCUUCUCCUUCUUCUUCUUCUCCUCCUCCUUCUUCUUUUCCUUCUCCUUCCCCUCCUCCUCCUCCUCCUUCCUCUUCUCCCCAAAUCACCCCCAGUACAUAGUUGUGUAGUCUAGUUGUAGGUCCUUUUAGCUGUGCAGCAAAAUUUUAAGUAAGUGUCCAGGCACUAUUUUUGAAAUCUUAAAUUUAUCAUCUUUUUGGCGUGGGCUGAUUUUCUAUAAAUCAUUAAAAGAUAUUGCCAGGACAGCUAAAAGAAAUGAGACAAAGGAGAAAAGGCGAGCAAAAAAGCAAAGAAUGGGAUAGAAAAAGAGAUUACCUAUUUAAUUUCAAGUAUUAAGGAGCCAGUCCUAAAAACAGAGAAGUGGGGUAUCAACAAAUGAUGCCUUAUUGCAGCCCAUCUCACUAAGCUUUUCGAGAAGGAUGGGCACAGAGACCUGUUUCUUCUCUUGGUUUCAUAUCUGCCUCUUUGAUGAAAUAGGGAAACACUCAAGCCCUUUACUACACACUGGUGCAGAAACGCUGCUGUCCCCAAAAUACGUUUUGUAACACGAACAUAUGCUUCUGAAAUCACUUUAAAACGCAUUUUAUUUCAGUGAAAUAAGUCAGACACAGGAAGACAAAUACUGUAUGAUAUCACUUAUAUAUGGAAUCUAAAAAAGCUGAACUCAAAGAAACACACUAGAAUGGUGAUUACCAGGGGCUGAGGGGUGGGGAAAAGAGCAGAUGUUGGUCAAAGGGUACAAACUUCUAGUUGUAAGAUGAGUAAGUUCUGAGGAUCACAUUUACAGUGUGGUGGGCCGGCCCCGUGGCUGAGUGGUUAAGUUUGCGCGCUCUGCUUCAGCGGCCCAGGGUUCAGAUCCUGGGCAUGGACAUGGCACUGCUCACUAGGCCAUCUUGAGGCGGCGUCCCACAUGCCACAACUAGAAGGACCCACAACUAAAAUAUACAACUAUGUACUGGGGGCGUUGGGGAGAAAAAAAAAAAGAAGAUUGGCAACAGUUAUUAGCUCAGGUGCCAAUCUUUAAAAAAAAAAAUUUAUAGUGUAGUGAUUACAGCUAAUAAUACUGUAUUGUAUACUCGAAUGUUGCUAAGAGAGAAGAUCUUCAAUGUUCUCACUACAAAAAAGCAAUGGUAAUUAUGUGACAUGAGGCAAGGGUUAGCUAAAAUCAUUUCUCAAUGUAAAAGUGUAUCAGAUCAAUGUGUUGUACAUCCUAAACUUACACAAUGUUAUAUGUCAAUUACAUUUCAAUAAAGCUUGAAAAAAUAAUAAAACACAUUUAUUUUACUAGACUCAUUCAAUUUGGGAUCUAGCCAGUGGCCAUGCCAAGGGAUAGUGUAAGGAGACUUUACUCAUGCCCAUCAUCUCCUUUGGUCCCCCUGUUGAAGCUCCCAAUAAAUACACAAUAAAGAAUAAGAUACAUGCUCUACAAAUGAAGCUUCGAGGCCUAUCUGCUAACCCCACUGAAUUAGUUUUCUAGGGCUGUUGUAAUAAAUUACCACAAGCUGAGUGACUUAAAACAAGAGAAAUUUAUUCUGUCACAGCUCUGGAGGCCAGAAGUCUGAAGUCAAGAUGUUGGCAGGGUUGACUCCUUCUGGAGUCUCUGAGGAAGGAUUUGUUCCAUGCAUCGUUCCUAGAUGGUGGCUGCCGGCAAUUCUUGGAGUUCCUUGGCUUGCAGAUGCUUUGCUCCAAUCUCUGCCUUCAUCUUCACAUGGCCUUCCCUACUAUGUCUCUCCAUGUCUUCUCCUUUUCUGUUCAUUACAAGGACUUUUACCAUUGGAUUUAUGAUGUACCCUAAAGCCAAGACAAUCUCAUGUUGAGAUCCUUAAUUUAAUCACAUCUGCAAAGACCCUAUUUCCAAAUAAGUUCCCAUUCACAGAUACCGGAGGUUAAGACUUGGGCAUAACUUUUUGGAACCACAAUUCAACCCACUACACUCACCUUCUAAUCUGAUUGCUGCCUCUAAGCCUCUCCUAUAGAAAUUCUGGAAAACCUCUGAGUGUGUCCUCCUGGUUCUCAUCUACAGUUCACCACACAGCACGAAAAUAACUACCAACUACUGAGUAUUUACCAGUGACAGGCACUGUAUAUGAACAUCUAUAUAUGAAAAGAGCGCUGCUAUUUUAAAUUAAUCAUUGUUGUUAAAAUCUUACUUAUAAAUAAUUUUUAAAAAGCUAACGGUGCCACAAGAUUUCUGAUGAAGAACAGCAGUCCCUUGUCUCAUCAUCCUUUUCUAACCCUUCCUAUCCCCUAGAGGAAACUGCAUUCAGUUCAUUUGACUUUCUGCUAAUUUUUACAUCCAAAAUUAUAAAUAAAAUCCUUAUGCUGCUAUUUCUUGAUUUUUCUAUUUUAGACAGUAUUUAUUGACUUCUUAUUAUGGACUAUGAGAAUUUUGCCUCAACUCCUUCAUUUCUUUUCCCAUUCUCCCAAUAGGGGGAGAAUAUGACAUUUGUUUACUUCUGAGCUGAGUAGAGUACUAUCAUCAUGCUAUGUUUACUUGUACAAAUUUUGUUUUUCCUGGAGUUAAUGAUUGCCUUGUUUUAGUUUUUUGUGUAUAUACAUUUGUUAUUCCCAAACUAUCAAAAUCAUUGUAAAAUCACUCUUACUACUAUAUUUUCUCAUGGCCAAAUGCAUCAGAUAAUCCAUGAAUUCCAUUUUUCUUGAUGUGGGGGACUUUUUCCCGGAAGUGUCCAUUGUCCUGCUCCAGUUGAGGCCUUGUGCACAGUUGUCCUGACUCUUCCCUUCUCCAUCUAUUGAGAAUUCCUCCUGCUUCUCUUCUAUAUUGGAGUCGCUGUUUCCUGCCCUUUGUGUGUUCUUGGUUCACUUGCCCCAAUUUCAUAAAGCACAUUAUCCAGUAACUUCUUGAGAAAGAAAACAUAGGAAGUACCAUUUCUGAGACCUUUUGAGUCUGAAAAUGUCUUGAUUGAUAGUUUAAUUUGAUACAGAAUGCUUCAUUUCAAAAACAUUUUUUUCUCUACAUUUUACAAGAGUUAUUUCAUUGUCUCAUUAACCUCUGAGUUGCAGUUAAGAAGUUUAAGUCUAAGUCUAAGCUCCAACACACAUUUUUUUAGCCAAUCUCCCUGUUUUAGCCAAUCGCCCUUAUUCCUCAUCCAUGUCCUCAGUGGUGUUUGGUGCUGCCAAAUCCUGAGCUCUCCCAGUGUUCUCUGGAGAAAAUUAGCUUCUCCUCAUUGGUGUCCCUUUCCUCAGGCCCUUAGGUUCAGCUUUCUUGGGUUUAGGUUUCAGCUUGCUAAGUCAAUUACAUUCUCCAUCCAGGGGUGACCACGAAAAUACUCAACCACUAGGAGGGCAUAAGCACUGAAGGGAUAUUGCCUAAAAACAAUCAAUAGGGUCAUAUUAAUGUCAACUGAUGAGUGCCAAUUAAAUAUUUGCUCUGCCUCCAUCCGAUUUCUUUUUUCCAAAACUGGUAACAUUUCAUGUUUAUUGUUGUCUCCUUUCCUAUUCUCCUUGUCCUUAGGUGUGUUUGCAUUUUUAUAUUCCUUUACUAUCAUUUUGGUGGGACUUCAGCAUAAGUAGAAACAAAUGUAUGUGUUUAAAAGCUGUGUUUAGCAAAAAGUCUACAAGAUGCUCUAUUCUGUUAUCACAUUUACUCCUUAAACCAACCCUAUGUGAAAGGUAUUAGCUCCAUCUAACAGAAGGAAACUGAGGUGCAAAUAUGUUCACAAUGCUUUCUCAAGAUUGGAUAGGCAAUCAUUAGUAUGGAACAAAGUUCGAAUCAGUUGGUCUGGUUCCAAAGUCAUGCUCUUGCCUCCCAAAGAGCAAGUAUCUCUCAAAGUCCAUGGGGGUAAUUCCUAUAGCCCUCUCUCUACAUUAAUAUGCUUUUCCUAACCUUCUGCUAGUUACACGUUUUUCGAAGUAGGUCAGCUGUCCCCUUGUAUUGGAAGCACUUGGAGGUGACUGUUCUAAAUGUGGAUUCCUGGGUUCCACCCUAGACCCACUGAAUCUCAGUCUCAUGGAGGUUAGAGAUUGAGAUUUGCAUUUUAAACUAGUUCCUCAGAAGAUGAUGAUUCCUAGACAUUUUGAGAAGCAUUGCUCUAGUCAAUGUAUGCCUCUCCAAAGCAGUAACACCAACCAUGCCUUACUAAACUGAAAUCCUUUUGCUCUUGGGUGAGUUGGGUAGGUCUUAGUGAGUCCAAGAUGUUACACAUUAAUAUUAGAAAAGAGUAUCUCAGAUAAGUGAGGGGCAAUAUUGAGAAGUAAGUGUUCAGAGUCAUUUUUCCCAGUAUAGAAUAUCUAAAAAUGCUACAACAAAAAAACCCCAUAAAUAUGCACUACAAAAAGUACAUUUUUAAAAGCUAGCUUGGGAUAAAAAUAAGGCAAAUGGUAAGAGGACCAGAAAAGACUAGAAAGCAAAUCCAAAGGAUAAGCUAAUGUUUGCACUGAUCCUGGUGGCUGGGACAUCCCAGGGAGUCAGGAGACAAAGCCUGAAGACUGAGCAGGUGGAAGUCAGACUGUACCCCCACACAAAGUCAGGCUAAAGAUGACAUUGCAGUAAAUGAACCAGAGAGAUUACCCACCACACUAAUGUUAGUUGUGAAUCUGUUAGAAGAGAAUGUUGUGAAUAAAUUUGCUGUGAGCCCUUUUGAGGGUAAGCAUUGCUUAGAUACCACUCUAGAAGCCACGCCUCAGAGAGGCAGCUACAACACAGUGGUUAAGACUGUGACCUCUGGAGAAAAUUGUCUGCGGUAUGAUCUUGACCCCAUCAUUUCUCAUUGUGAUCUUGGACAAACUCUUAACCUCCCUGGGUCUCAAUGUCCCUGUCUGGAGACACAUAGCUCACAAAGUUGGUGUAGAGAUUAUAUUAUUAAAUACACGUCAAGCGCCUUCACCAGUGCCUACACAAAGCAAGCUCUCAGCAAAUCUUACCUGGGAUUACGUACAGUGGUUCCCUGACAGCAAAUGCGAAGCAGACUAGGCUCUUUGGGCUUAAGCUUUUAAUGUCCAAAUAACACCCAUUUAGCAUACUAUAUAGAAAUACAAAGAGUGGUCCUGAUUUCUGGUAUAAACAUUGGCAAGUUAUUUCUUUAACAUCCUAAACACUGUGAGUAUAAGUAGUAGAUGUGCUCAUAACUACUUCUUCAUAGAUAUGCAAUUCCACAUAUUAAUUUCAGGGCCUAAUUUAUUCUGACUGGAUCUAGUCCCUCCUUCUUGUUCUCUGUUCUCAUCUCCUGCCAUUGGCCCAUCACUGCCAGCUCCGGAAACACAACCUCAACAUGGCCUAUGGCCCAUCCCAAACUCAAUUGUUCACCAGUUCUGCUGCUGCUAUUUAUUACCAAAUUGGCUUCUUUAACACUUUCAAACAUUCUGCUUUGCCAAGCCUGUAUAACUUCUACAUAAAGUCAACAAACAGCUGUUGAUUUUUAUAGUCACCACACCCUCUCAAACGCUAGAAAACCGUCAAAUUCCCUGAAAGUAAAUUUCAUAUUUAAAAAUAUUUUUUAAAUGGAAAAAAAAAGCCCCCUCUUUUACUUGAAUUGUGUCUUAUGGGAUUGGUCAUAAAACUUUAAGUAAUAGAACUUUGGAUAGGUUAUUCCUAGCACCCCAAAUGUAUCCUGCGUUAUAUCCAGUCAUAACUCACUGACGUCAUAGGUUGGAAAGGAACAUUCAAAAUGAAAAGUGGUGUUACAGAUCUGGGAAAAUUUUUUUCUUCUUCACAAGCUUCCUUUUAGUCUUAAAUAAAGUUUUAAAUAUGUGGAAAUUAAUUUAAAAUUACUCAUUAAUGACUUUCCUCUUUUGAUUCAUGUAACUUUCAAACAACAUUAUUUAUGAAUAUCAUCUUGUGAAUCCCCAGAAUCAAUUGGUUUUUAAAAAGGUGAAGCAAACAAUCUUGUCAUAAUGUUAUUUUUACAACUGUGAGCAAGGAACCCAUAGCAAAUUCCUGCUACAUCUCAUAUUUUAGAAGGAAUU